rnacentral:rRNA from 1 species
GAUGAACGCUAGCUACAGGCUUAACACAUGCAAGUCGAGGGGCAGCAUGGAAGAAGCUUGCUUCUUCUGAUGGCGACCGGCGCACGGGUGCGUAACGCGUAUCAAACCUGCCUCAUACUCGGGGAUAGCCUUGCGAAAGUAAGAUUAAUACCCGAUGUUGUUGCUUUCUCGCAUGGGAGAGUAACCAAAGAUUUAUCGGUAUGAGAUGGUGAUGCGUCCGAUUAGGUAGUAGGCGGGGUAACGGCCCACCUAGCCUUCGAUCGGUAGGGGUUCUGAGAGGAAGGUCCCCCACACUGGAACUGAGACACGGUCCAGACUCCUACGGGAGGCAGCAGUGAGGAAUAUUGGUCAAUGGGCGAGAGCCUGAACCAGCCAAGUAGCGUGCAGGAUGACGGCCCUCCGGGUUGUAAACUGCUUUUAGUUGGGAAUAAAAAAAGGGACUUGUCCCUUCUUGUAUGUACCUUCAGAAAAAGGACCGGCUAAUUCCGUGCCAGCAGCCGCGGUAAUACGGAAGGUCCAGGCGUUAUCCGGAUUUAUUGGGUUUAAAGGGAGCGUAGGCGGAUUGUUAAGUCAGCGGUUAAAGGGUGUGGCUCAACCAUGCAUUGCCGUUGAAACUGGCGAUCUUGAGUGCAGACAGGGAUGCCGGAAUUCGUGGUGUAGCGGUGAAAUGCUUAGAUAUCACGGAGAACUCCGAUCGCGAAGGCAGGUGUCCGGGCUGCAACUGACGCUGAGGCUCGAAAGUGUGGGUAUCAAACAGG